CUCAUUGGAAGCUAUAGGAAGCGUUUAGAGCAGGGCUAUUCAGCUGGCGGCCUGCGGCCCUUUAAUAAGUUUGGACCGGCCCGCGGCCCAUUUACCCAUAAAUAUUAAUAAAUACAUGAUCAAAACCUGCUACAAAGCGCAUUUGCCAAUUUUUGGCAUUUUACGACACUCUGUGGCGCUUUGCGGCACGUUAGCACUGUUUCCAAACAGCCCCACCUCAUGUGAAGGCAUUGUGGGCACUCGAACAGUUGGUGGUGGUAAUGUACCAUAUUGGUUUGCAAACCGCCAGUAAACUCGAACGAAGAAGAAGACAACAACAACAGGCUGCAUUCAAAGGAGAAGAGAAGAGCAUUUGUCUCAAUUGUACAUCUGAGAGUAAUAGUACAGGUCACGUGAAUGUCCGGCCCACAGAUCAUAGGAUUCUGACAAAUUUGGCCCCCGGAAAAAUAUAGUUGAAUAGCCCUGAUUUAGAGGCUUCCUCAACUUGCUAGAAGAAAUGGU